CCUCAUUGCAGCAGUCGCUGACCACACUAACAAUCCAAGUCAUCCAACUUGAAAGCAGUCUUUAAAAGCUUUUUUUUAAUUCUUCUUCCUGACCACGCUCUUACUUUUGGAAUGUGAUAGCGUUUUCUCCUGGUCAUGACCUGUCUCAGCUCUCUGUCGCCACCUGAUGGCUGCUCGAAGUAGCACUUGUUCCGGAGUUGGCUUUCAUCAUCACAUUGAACCUCCAAAAAUCCUUCCACUGUGAAGAGGAAAACGGAGUACCCGGAGAAAACCCACGCAUGCACGGGGAGAACAUGCAAACUCCACACAGAGAUGGCCGAGGGUGGAAUUGAACUCGGGUCUCCUAGCUGUGAAGUCUGCGCGCUAACCACUCGACCACCGUGCAGCCUUGGCGAGAGCUGGUUAUUUCAUCCAGAAUGAGGACCUGUGGCUGCCGAACCAUCGCUCGAGCAAUGGCGAUCCGCUGCCGUUCACUCUUGGACAACAGGCUGCCCCCCUCGCCCACCUCUGAGAAAACGCAUCAAAACCCUUUCUCCAGCUGUGUGAUGAAGUCGUGGGCGUUGGCCUGGCGAGCUGCUUCCUGGACGGCAUCCAUGGAGCAGACAUCAAUCCCGUAGGCGAUGUUGUGUCUGACUGUGCCAGAGAAGAGCACCGGCUCCUGGCUGACCAAGGCGAUCUGUCAAAACACCCCCAGCUGUCAGGAGUGGGAGUUGGCUUUUGGGCCUUCACCUUCUUGCUGAGGAAGUGGUGAUCGUAGGAUUCCAGUGGAGCAUCGUCCAACAGGAUCUGGCCAUCCAGCGGCUCGUACCAGCGCUUCAGCAAAGAGGCACAGGUACUCUUUCCCUCUCCCGAGGGGCCCACCAACGCCGUCAUCUGACCCGCUUUCAGCUCCAAAGAGAAGUCCUGGCGGGAAACAUGUUUGCCUUCAUGCUUGAGUGCAGCGUUCAUACAAUGACGUGUCAGACCCACCUGGAGCACAGGUACGUUGGGGCGUGUCGGGUAGACGAAGUUCAGAUGUCGGAAGACCACGUGUCCCUUAAGCUGAUCGGGUGCUUGUUCCCCUUUGGUGCUGACCUGAGGUUCUCGAUCCAGAUACUCAAAGACUUUAGCAGCGGCCCCGACUGAGUUGACCAUAUUGCAGCUGAUGUAGAUCAGUGCCUGACGGGACACAUUAUCAGCAGACAUUAAAGCUGGAAUGGGAUGCCACCAUCUCGCUUUGAAGGACACAGUUCAGUUCCAUUUUGGGUUCAUUAGAGCCGUGAUUUUCAACCUUUUUUGAGCCACGGCACGUUUUUUACAUUGGAAAAAUCUUGUGCCACACCACUAACCAAAAAUGUUACAAAAUGUCACCGCGACCUCACACGUGCAUCAAUAAGUCUAUCGGAGGAACAAGGUAGGUGUUGCCACACGGACCAAUAUUACAUUGCUCUGCCAGUCUUUACACCACAGACACUCCACAGUAGCCACGUUUUUACAUGACCACUUUUUCUCUUUCCGAAUGACCUUUUGGGAAACAAUGGUAUCCAUGGAAAGAAAUAUUCCAAUCUCUUGUCUACAUGCGCCGUGAAAAUCCAACAGAAUAGUCAAUGGGUCAUGUGCGGUAAAACGUAAGCAUCAACAUCACGUGAUACCGACUUCCCCGAGUUAUUCUUUCACUUGUUGGAAUAACUCCGUAUUGCCAGUUUUUCGUCUGUCCAGUCUUGAAAUUUAGUUUGAAUCAAAAACAAACUUGGCUUAGUCCAGUGCCGAUUGCUGGCCUCCAUUUUUAAAAGUGAAGAACGUCUGGAUCUGCGUGUUACGUCAUAUCUGAGCAUGCGCUGAAAGAACGCACCCGGGAUCAAUUUAAACAGGAAAAGAUCAAAUUCAAUCUUGCUAAUAUUUUAUAAUUCAACUCGGGACAUGUUUUAUAUAGAUAUAUAUUUUCUUUUUGAAUAAAACUGGACUUGUGAAUAAAGUAUAGAAGGGUUUAGAUUCUGUUCCACAGAUGGUGGUAAUGCACACGAAAGCCGCUUUCCAACCGCCAAUAAACAACAGAAGAAGAAAAACACCACGAAGAAGAACGCACCCUGACAAAUUUCCGUUUGAUACCUGAAUUGGAUUGGUGAAAGGAAUAUUCCAUCCCUGUUCAAUUCUUUCCGUUUGCGCAAAUAUACCAAAUGCAAUUGG